rnacentral:rRNA from 1 species
CCUACGGGGGGCUGCAGUGAGGAAUAUUGGUCAAUGGCCGGAAGGCUGAACCAGCCAUGCCGCGUGAAGGGCAGGGCCCUAGGGGCGUGAAACUUCUUUUGUGCGGGAGCAAGAAUGGUCACGUGGGGCCAGACGAGAGUACCGUACGAAGAAGCAGCGGCGAACUCCGGGCCAGCAGCCGCGGUAAUACGGGGGAUGCAAGCGUUAUCCGGCUUUAUUGGGUUUCAAGGGGGCGUAGGCGGUGAGGUAAGUCAGCGGUGAAAGGCCCCCGCUCAACGGGGUGAAGUGCCAUUGCUACUGCCUUGCUGGACUGCGGCUGCCGUGGGCGGCAUGUGUGGUGUAGCCGUGAAAUGCAUAGCUCUCACUC